UGAUCCUGGCUCAGAAUGAACGCUGGCGGCGUGCCUAACACAUGCAAGUCGUACGAGAAAGGGGCUUCGGCCCUAGUAGAGUGGCGCACGGGUGAGUAACGCGUGGGUAAUCUACCCUUGGAUUUGGGAUAACUCUGCGAAAGUGGAGCUAAUACCGGAUAGUCUGGCUUUAAAUAAGAAGUCGGUAAAGGAUGCCUCUGCAUAUGCAUUCGUCCGAGGAUGAGCCCGCGUCUCAUUAGCUAGUUGGUAGGGUAAUGGCCUACCAAGGCAACGAUGAGUAGCUGGUCUGAGAGGAUGAUCAGCCACACUGGAACUGAAACACGGUCCAGACUCCUACGGGAGGCAGCAGUGGGGAAUAUUGCGCAAUGGGCGAAAGCCUGACGCAGCAACGCCGUGUGAGGGAUGAAGGCUUUCGGGUCGUAAACCUCUGUCGGAAGGGAAGAACGGGCAUUGGUCUAAUAGGCCUUUGUUUUGACGGUACCUUUAGAGGAAGCACCGGCUAACUCCGUGCCAGCAGCCGCGGUAAUACGGAGGGUGCAAGCGUUAUUCGGAAUUACUGGGCGUAAAGCGCACGUAGGCCGCUUUGUAAGUCAGGGGUGAAAUCCCACGGCUCAACCGUGGAACUGCCUUUGAAACUGCAGAGCUUGAAUCCUGGAGAGGGUGGCGGAAUUCCUGGUGUAGGAGUGAAAUCCGUAGAUAUCAGGAGGAACACCGGUGGCGAAAGCGGCCACCUGGACAGGUAUUGACGCUGAGGUGCGAAAGUGUGGGGAGCAAACAGGAUUAGAUACCCUGGUAGUCCACACCGUAAACGAUGGAUACUAGGUGUCGGGGACUUGAUCUUCGGUGCCGUAGCUAACGCGUUAAGUAUCCCGCCUGGGGAGUACGGUCGCAAGGCUGAAACUCAAAGAAAUUGACGGGGGCCUGCACAAGCGGUGGAGG
rnacentral:rRNA from 1 species